rnacentral:tRNA from 1 species
ACCUGGCUGGCUCAGUCAGUAGAGCACAUGACUCUAGAUCUUGGGGUUGUGAGUUCCAACCCCAUGUUGGGGA